rnacentral:lncRNA from 1 species
UUUUUUUUUGUAAAUUCCUAUUAUUCUUCAAGUGGAUGAUAAUCCUAAGAUUUAUAAGGACGUAGUAACUUCCACUACUAUAAAAAAUACAUCUAACGUCAGACACGAAAUGCAUUUAACCUCGGUUACUUAAGCGAUGUAACAAUGACAUCGUGUAAAAAUACCACUUUACCCCUCGGUUAUUAGAAAACUGAGGGGUAACACUAUCUGCACAUGGGAUUGAUGUCCAACAUUUUCAUUUUUUAUUAUUUUCAGAACAUGAUGGUGCAUCCAAUAUUAACUCCCGAUGUUGUAUAGAAUCGAGGUAAUAUCUAUAUGUUAUUACCUCAAUUUUUUGAAAAAAAUGAGGAUAUAAGUUUUUUUUAGUACUAUCGUAUGCACUUGUAUUACAAAACGUAUUACUGAAUAUAGAGCUAUAUUUUGCAGAUUCCGGAAACAUAAGUAUUGUACAUAUUGUCAAUUUCUCAAUCUAAAACAUUGUACCCCUAAUAUUCACUGUUAACACAAAAUUCAAGUCUAAAAUGGCACAUACUUUAUAUUUUUUCAGCAAAACAAAAAUAAAUGAUUAACCAACAAAAGCAAUAACCAAAAUGGAAGGUUUUGUAGGUUGUCCAAUAGGAUUUGUCACUGAUCGUUAAGCCCUUAUAAUUUGAACAACAUUUGAAACCAAUUAGGAUAAUCAAUAUCAACUUUAAAUCUAAAGUACAAGGAAUAAAAAAGAGUAAAAUGAAUAAUUAUGAAUUACUAAGUGAUAUAAAAUAUUUACUUACUAAUUUUCUCAUAUCCCUUUUUUAUGAUCACAGUGAAUAACAUGCAUAUCAUCUGAAUCAUUUUAUUCAGAUGAUUGGCGUACAUGUGUUUCUAAACAAGGGGCUUAUACUUAAAAUCUUUAUUUUCAUCAGUACUAUUAGGAAGAUGUUUUCAUUGAAGAACAAUUGAUCAUCUAGUGCUAGCAGAAUCAGUGUCAUAAAAAACUUAAUUUGCUUUGAUUUCCAUGAUGAAUGGUUCGUUCCUAUAAGUUGCCUUUCAAAAAUCAACCUGUGUGAAUCCUAAUUCAUCGGUUUCUACAUCAAUGUUACUGUCAAUCCACUUGCACUUAAAUAAAGACACUUUAGAAAAGUACAUGAUUCUAUAUUCUAGUACAUGAUUGUUAUCUAUGGAACUAGAAAAGUACAUGGAUUCAUCCUUAACCAUAACCCCACUAUUUUGCAUGAUGCUAUGAUCAUCCUUUGAUUUUAUACAGAAUGAAUAUUUAGUAAUGUCGUAGGCACUCCAAGUAAUUACAUUAAACUUAGGCAUAUGUGACAACCAUUGAAUUGUAUCUGAUGAGCUACUAUCUUUAUAAACACUUUCAUUAAACCAAUUUAUGAAGGUUUCUUAUACUCCAACAAUAACCAUCUUUCAUUCAUCUGGGGGAAUUUUUCCUUUAUAAGACUCUUGUGAGCGGUCAAGUAAGGUUGAACUUCAGUGAGGUUAUUCAAUAUAUACAAAUGUGCUUGAAGAACUACAUCUCGGUCAAAUUUCUUAACAUUUAAAACUUGAAUACCUCUACCAUCAUCCAUCCAUCAUGACGAGACUCAAGAACUACAUCUCGGUUAGAUUUCUUAACAUUUAAACCUUGAAUACCUUGAAUACAUCUACCAUCAUUUCUAUAGAGUUCACUUAUGACAAAUAGUUUGUAUAAAACUCAAUAGAUUCUUCUGUGAUGUACUUGUAUACAAUUGAAGCUUCCGAACGAUCAUGAUUCUUUGUAUAUCCUUUAAAAAUCUUCAUGUAACACUCUAUCAGAUACAUCUGUUGUAAAUAAACUGGAUCACAAAUUCUAAUCUCCCUUACUAGAUGAACAACUAAGUGAACCAUAAUGUCUAAGAAUGCUGGAGGGAAAAACAUCUCUAAUUGGCACAAGAUAAUUGUGGCUUCAUGUUCUAAGUCGUCUAAAUUUCCAUGAUCAAUAACUUGACUACAUAAAGCAUUAAAGAAUAAGCAUAAUCUGAUGAGAUUUACCAUUACAUUUCUUGGUAAAGUGCCACGAGUAGCCACUAGUAGAAGUUGUUGCAUCAAGACAUAAGAAUCAUGAGAUUUAAGCAAACUAACUUGAUAUCAUUCAUUAUCAUAACUUUCUUUACAUUUUAUGAGUACCAUUGGGGAACUUUUAUACCCUGCAAACAUUCUCAAAAACUUUUUUUCUUUUUUAGACAGAGUGUGACAUGCUAGGGGAAAAUAGGUUUUAUUUCCUAUUUCUUUUGGGGAAAAUAGGUUCUUUUAUACCCUAUAAUCAUUACAACAUGUAUGUAUUCUGACAUAGUCCAAACCCAUUGGACACAAUAUCUUAUUGGUCUCAUAACCACGGUUCAACAAUGUGUUACCUUCGGGAAGCAUUUCUUUAAACAAUUCAAGCAAUUUAGUGAAACUUUUAUCCAUCCACCCACCUCUUUCCUUAAGAUUAAAUAGUCUUAACACAACUGACAUUCUUGUAAAACUUUUACAUACCGGAUACAACGAAUCUUCCAUGCAUCUUAAAAAAGUGUCUACCUCAUUAGCUUUCUUGAAAGAAUCUACUCCAAUAUCACGAAUCAUGUCUUCUAGAGUAUAAUUCAUAAAUUCAUCAUCUUCAACUGUAUGUGACAAAUGUCUCUUUUUCGUCACUUCACCAUGCCAUACUCAUUUCGUGUAAUUUUGAAUAAUUCCAUCACAACCAAAAUGAUUGAAUAUAACAUCCCUUGGAUGUUUUUUGUAUUAAACAAGCUUGAGAGUUGUAGGCAUAUUAUU